rnacentral:lncRNA from 1 species
CUUUAUUUUUACUAACAAGGGAACAUCGCACUCGAUGUGUCUGGGAUUUUGGCGAUGUUUUGUCGUCUAGGGGGGCGUGGGGAGUGGAUGAGGAGUCGCCCCUGUAUUGGGGGCCGCUGCUCUGGCGUUUUCGGGAGGGUCGCUUUUGAGAUUUCGGAGGUUUUUUGUUUUACUUGGGUGGCGAGCGCUUGGACGUUUGACUGUGUGUUGAGGUGGUGUGGUGGCUGCGUCGGGGUUCCGACGGUCGGAGCAUGUAGGUUCGAUUCUUGAUAAAUUCCGAAUUUUUUUUCUCUCUAAUCUUUUGC